GGGGUUUUUGAGUGUUGGCUUCACCCGGCUCGUUACCGGACUCAACCGUGUAAAGAUGGGUCGGGUUGUCGUCGUCGGGUUUGUUUCUUUGCUCAUACUCCUGACCAGCUCCGUCUCGUAAGCUCUACUGAUACUUACGACGGUUCACCUUGUGGUAAAACGCUGACGUUUUGGUCUUCACCUGGUUCUGGCUCACCUCCGGUUAGUCCCCGUGCCGAGUCUUGCUCUUCACCUCCGGUCUCGCCGAUGGCUCAGUCGCUAAGCCGUUCUCUCGGUUCGGCUUCCAUUAACGAGAUGGUGACCUCUUUAAGGAACUUACAGCUAGGAAAAGGCAAGUCCUGGAAGACCCAAGUUGGCUGUUGCUCCCCUUCGUCACCUUCCAGUUUCGGAUCCCCCAGAGCAGCAAUGAUCCGACCCGGUUUCUGCAGCUUACCCAGUACUCCGACCCGAAACUUAACCCGUCCAGGUAUCAGCUACCCGGAUUCAUGGGAUAAAGCGUGUGAAGAAGAACCGGUAAUGGAACGG
rnacentral:lncRNA from 1 species